AUGGGCUGCAUCUUCCGUGGCGCAGAGCUCCUCCCCGCCCGUCGGCCAGGUCACCAGUCAGUCCAAGCUCACCCAGCUCUGGAUCCCUCCCUGCAGCCACGAGAAAAGCUCCUGUCAGCCCGCCCUGCGCNNNNNNGGGGGGGGGCUCCCGUUGGCCCGCGCCCUGGAUGCCAGGCCUCACCCCGCUCUGACCCCCCCAGCGAUAAAAAGCACCAGUGCUAUUUUCCCAACCUCAGAUCCUUGCCUUUCCCUUCCCCCACACCCCCCACCGAGCAAGGACUGGCCCGUGUUUGGGGUGGUUGUUGUUCAUUUAAGAGUAUAUUAAAGGAUCAUUGGCGUCUCCCCGUUAAGUCAUUACGCCUUUAUCCCCAUCAAUUAACCACACCUCAGAGGACUGCUAUUAAGAGCUAAAUUGAGCUGCAAAAGUAGGUAUCCCGUUUCAGGCAGAUGUUGUUAUCUCCCGCUGAGGAGCGAGGCCAGCAGGGCCCGACCCUCGGCUUCCCAAGACUGCUGGAACCGCGUGGCACCGGGCUGCCGGCCCGGGCCAGCGGGGCUGGAAGAGAGGUCGCCGCCUGACGCUGCGCUGAUGCUCCAGGUGUCAGGAGGAGGAGUGGCAGGGCCCUGUCCCAGCCCGACCUCAAACUCUGUGCACACCGUGGGAAGUGUCCCCACAGUGGUGCCAGGGAGGACGCCAAGAGCGAGCCGUGCGUUUUUGCGCAGAGACUUGGAGUGUCCUCAAGGCCUCGCUCCUAGCAGGAGGCCCGAGGGAGAAGGUACGGGGAGGAGAGGUCGAACUAGAGAGCCUGGCCGGCAGCCCUCCUCCGACACACCCGCCUUCCUCUUCCUGCCACUGCAGCCUCCUUAGUAUCGGCCCCAGAACCCAGAACUUCUGCUGGAUAGCGGCGUGGAGCUGUGGGGAUGCUAGGUGUGCAGCUGAAGAAUCUGGGACGGAAACGUGGAGCUUAGGACAAAGGAGGCGCCCUUGGGCCCUCCCUGGCCAUCAGCCAGAUGUGUCUUCCCACCCUUUCUCCCCACAGUCGCUCCCGAGGACGUGAGGCGCCGCUGUCACGCGCAGAUGGGAGACCCUGGAGCCCUGAAGAAAGGAAGGAAAAGGGACAGGGCCCUCGCUGCAGUUUCAGGGCUUUCCUCCCGACAUUGGCCACAAUAAAUUUAGCCAGGGCUAAAGGAGAUUAAUUUCCCAGCAUAAUCCAAUUAAAAGAUU
rnacentral:lncRNA from 1 species